rnacentral:sRNA from 1 species
GCUGGGUGCAGUGGUGCAUGCCUGUAAUCCCAGUGGCUUGGGAGGCUGAGGUAGGAGGAUUGUGAAUUCAAAUCCAGCCUCAGCAAAGGCAAGGCAAUAAUCAACUCAAUGAGACCCUGUCUCUA